CAGUCGCCGCGGUAAAACGAAGGGUGCAAGCGUUAAUCGGAAUUACUGGGCGUAAAGCGUGCGCAGGCGGUUUGUUAAGUCCGUUGUGAAAGCCCUGGGCUCAACCUGGGAAUUGCAGUGGAUACUGGGUCACUAGAGUGUGGUAGAGGAUAGUGGAAUUUCCGGUGUAGCAGUGAAAUGCGUAGAGAUCGGAAGGAACAUCUGUGGCGAAGGCGACUAUCUGGGCCAACACUGGCACUGAGGCACGAAAGCGUGGGGAGCAAACAGGAUUAGAUACCCCUGUAGUCCAUGUCUCUUAUAC
rnacentral:rRNA from 1 species